CUCAACAACAUACCCUUAUAAUCCAAAACACCCCCCUUAAUCCUAUUCCUGUAACUAAAGAAAGGCGAUAAACAAACAAAGGGAUGAAAGUGGUCGUCCAGCGAGUUGCUUCUGCCAGCGUUGAGGUUGAAGGGCGCACAGUGUCUGCAAUUGGGGCGGGCCUUCUUGUUCUUGUCGGAGUUCAUGACCUCGAUACCGAUUCCGAUGCUGAUUAUAUAUGUCGUAAAGUGUUGAAUAUGAGAUUGUUCCCGAAUGAACAAACUGGAAAAACAUGGGAUCUUAAUGUAAUGCAGAAAAACUAUGAGGUUCUACUAGUGAGUCAAUUUACAUUGUAUGGGAUACUUAAGGGUAACAAGCCUGAUUUUCAUGUUGCAAUGGGACCUGAUAGAGCAAAAUCGUAUUAUGCUUCUUUAGUGGAAAGGUUUCAAAGAAGUUACAAACAUGAUUCAGUCAAAGAUGGAGUAUUUGGGGCAAUGAUGAAGGUUAAUCUGGUAAAUGAUGGUCCAGUUACAAUGCAGCUCGAGUCACCACAGUCAUUAAGAAACAAUAAUGAUUCAGCUGAAGUAGAACGAGUACUAUGAACGGUACGUAAUUUAUGCCCUAGAUGCGGCUUCUUCAUCUUCUUUUAGAUUUUAUGUAGACUUUAGUACACCAUGUUUGAUGUUCUGAUUAUCUAUUUUGUACCAACAGUUCUACAAAAUAUGCUACUUUCCAAUCAUCUAUUGCACUUUGAAUAAGCUUGCAUUAUUUGGUUUCGAGUUCAGAGAAUUAAUUUACCACAAUGGGUCUGAAUUUUUUACGGAAACUAUAUGGGAUUUUGUGGGCUUUAGCUGCUAAACGUAUGGAUGUCUUUCACCAUUAGAUGGCCCGGAUGGCCAGUCAUUCGUCAUUUCAUUGUUGGACGUACCAUUUUGGUAAUUAAUUUGCUUUGUAAAAAGUCUAUUAUAUAGAAACUUAUAUCAUUUGAUAAAGGUCCUACUAAAA